UAAUACGUAGGGGGCAAGCGUUGUCCGGAAUCAUUGGGCGUAAAGAGCGUGUAGGCGGCCCGAUAAGUCCGCUGUGAAAGUCCAGGGCUCAACCCUGGGAUGCCGGUGGAUACUGUCGGGCUCGAGUCCGGAAGAGGAGUGUGGAAUUCCUGGUGUAGCGGUGAAAUGCGCAGAUAUCAGGAGGAACACCAAUGGCGAAGGCAGCACUCUGGGACGUGACUGACGCUGAGACGCGAAAGCGUGGGGAGCAAACAGGAUUAGAUACCCUGGUAGUCCACGCUGUAAACGAUGGGCACUAGGUGUGGGGGGUGUCGACUCCCUCCGUGCCGAAGCUAACGCAUUAAGUGCCCCGCCUGGGGAGUACGGCCGCAAGGCUA
rnacentral:rRNA from 1 species